rnacentral:rRNA from 1 species
AUUGAACGCUGGCGGCAGGCCUAACACAUGCAAGUCGAGCGGAUGAAGGGAGCUUGCUCCUGGAUUCAGCGGCGGACGGGUGAGUAAUGCCUAGGAAUCUGCCUGGUAGUGGGGGAUAACGUCCGGAAACGGGCGCUAAUACCGCAUACGUCCUGAGGGAGAAAGUGGGGGAUCUUCGGACCUCACGCUAUCGUAUGAGCCUAGGUCGGAUUAGCUAGUUGGUGGGGUAAAGGCCUACCAAGGCGACGAUCCGUAACUGGUCUGAGAGGAUGAUCAGUCACACUGGAACUGAGACACGGUCCAGACUCCUACGGGAGGCAGCAGUGGGGAAUAUUGGACAAUGGGCGAAAGCCUGAUCCAGCCAUGCCGCGUGUGUGAAGAAGGUCUUCGGAUUGUAAAGCACUUUAAGUUGGGAGGAAGGGCAGUAAGUUAAUACCUUGCUGUUUUGACGUUACCAACAGAAUAAGCACCGGCUAACUUCGUG